UCUGCGAUUAAGAUGACUCCAU
rnacentral:siRNA from 1 species